rnacentral:tRNA from 1 species
AACAAAAUGGCUGAGUUAUAGCAGAAAAUUGUAAAUUUUCCAACGAAUAAAUUCUUUUGUUA